rnacentral:lncRNA from 1 species
AUGUUUUGUUUGUUUUGUUUGUUUGUUUGUUCUUUUAUUGGGGUUAUGUUUUGUGUUAGGGGGUUUAGCUGUUGCGUCCAAUCCUUCUCCGUAUUAUGGGGUAGUUGGUUUAGUGUUAGCUUCUGUUGCAGGAUGUGGUUGGCUAUUAAGUUUGGGUGUUUCUUUUGUGUCAUUGGUGCUGUUUAUAGUCUACUUGGGAGGAAUGUUGGUGGUUUUUGUUUACUCUGUGUCUUUGGCAGCAGAUCCUUUUCCUGAGGCUUGAGGGGAUUGACGUGUUGUUGGAUAUGGUAUGGGUUUUAUAUUGGUAGUGGUAGUUGGUAUGGUUGUUGGGGGUCUUGUUGAGUGUUGGAAGAUUGGGGUGGUUACUGUUGACAGUGGGGGAAUAUUUUUGGUGCGGUUGGAUUUUAGUGGGGUGGCCAUAUUUUAUUCGUGCGGGGUUGGAAUGUUUUUAGUGGCUGGGUGGGGGUUGUUAUUGACUUUGUUUGUGGUAUUAGAGUUGGUGCGUGGGUUAUCUCGUGGGGCGAUUCGAGCAGUUUAGGGUUGGGGGAAAGUCAGAGAAUAGUUUAGUAUAAAAUACCAGCUUUGGGAGUUGGAGAUAGAGGUUUGAGUCCUCUUUUUCUGAUUCUAUAUAAGAUGAACUCUAAGAAGAGGGGCAGUCUUCAGUC